GACGUAGGGCGCGAGCGUUGUCCGGAUUUAUUGGGCGUAAAGAGCUCGUAGGCGGCUUGUCGCGUCGUCCGUGAAAACCUGCAGCUCAACUGUCGGGCUUGCGGUCGAUACGGGCAGGCUGAGUUCGGUAGGGGAGACUGGAAUUCCUGGUGUAGCGGUGAAAUGCGCAGAUAUCAGGAGGAACACCGGUGGCGAAGGCGGGUCUCUGGGCCGAUACUGACGCUGAGGAGCGAAAGCGUGGGUAGCAAACAGG
rnacentral:rRNA from 1 species